CCCAGUUUUGAGCUAGGCUGACAUUGGACAAGCCGGAAGGCCAGCAGUUGCUGCAUCAGAUUUCCUGGAGUUUGUCUCUCCCUGCAGCUGAAAUUCUGGCAGCCAAUAGGGGACUCAGCCUCACUCCAGUCCCCAGAAUCAAACCAGGGAACAUACACCAGACCUAGAACACCGAUGACUGACUAUUCAGGAAAGGUAUGGAAGAGUGGGCACAAGGUGGGACCCUGACUAUUCAGGAAAGGUAUGGAAGAGUGGG